UUAUACUGAUGAUGUACGUGGUCUGCUGUCCUUAGAAGGGACGUAAAUAGGACAACAUAUAAACCUUGACAACUGUGAACUUUGUGUUUAGGCUAUAAAUUUGAUGGGGGUAAGGAAGGUAUAGUAAUCUUUUUGUUCUGCAUGAAACGUUUAGUGUAUGGGAUUAUGGCCCAUGUGUAGGGUUGCUAUGAAUGACAGUACUAAUAAUUUACUUCUUUGUUUUAAGAUUGCUUUUAUAUAAACCUAUUUAUAGCAUGGAACUCCUCACAUUGCUAUGAUGUUAACAACUGCAAGGCUAAAAGCACAAAUGUUUGAACUGAGAUACCUGUUGCUCAGCCACUGAAAUACCAUUGUCUGAUACUAACAUUACUUUGCAGGUAAGGGCCCUCUCUCAAUAGAGCCUUGUGCAAAUGGUGGUUUCAGAAGCAGAGACAGAUGCCCUGUCAGAGUUACUGAGAUGGUGAUACCUUUUACUGAGGGAUCAGAGGAUAAGGGCCACAUUGCAGCACCUCUUGGAAUGACCUAAGGGAAGAAUGGCACAGUCACACUGAGGAAAAUGGAAUACGAGUAACUUACCCCUGUUAUACCCUGAAGAGCUAUAGAAACACCCAUACAGCAUUUGAGUCAUUACCAAGAAAACCUUUUUAUCAACCUGUCCUCACCUGAGGAACUUUGUGCUCCACUUCAUACAGAGUGCUUGGCUUUCAGUCUCCUUGCAGAAAAAUAACGGCUAUUAGGUAACAAGGUCUAACAGAAAAACACAACCCAGACAUGGGAAACCAGCAUGCCUGAAUCUGGUCCAAGCUGAUAAUGACCAAAGUGAUUAUUCGAUGAAAAGGUGAUGCCAAUUAGCAGUGCCUGUAUGAUUACUAGCCCUUGCCCAAGGGAGUCUGGGAACUGAAUGGGACAGGAAGGACCUGGAAGCCACAAAGCAGUUCUCUGCAAGACUGAGAAAGCAUUUAAAGAAGAAAACAGGUGGAAGCUCCACUUUUGGUGUCUGUAAGUUCCUACCUCUGGAAAUGAGCAGGAGGAGUGGAAUGGAACGCAACAAGAUGCUGCAGGACUCACUUUGGCUUUCCCAGAAAAGUUUUUAAGAUGGAAAAUCUAAAAUUGUAAGAUGGCUGCUUACUUCCCACUGCUUUCUCAUGGAAAAAUGCCAAACUAGAGUUCUUCAUGUGCUCCUUUAUUUAUGAAGGGUUUUGUAAGGUUGGGUUUUGGCAACUAUAAAUAAUAGAAUUCCACAAAAAAUAUAAGAUGCCUGUUGAAUUGCACCCGUUUUGAGAAUUAAAUUUAACUAUUUCCAAACAUAGAUGGGAUUUGUCUUUUAUUAACUGUCUUGGUACUUGCAUAUUUGAGGUAAGCGAAAUGAAAUUAGCAAAGCUUAAUUUGUCAAUUUCCAAGCUGAUUAAGUUACCAGAUGUGAAAUUUUCAGAAGUGUAUUAAGUCAGGUGCAGAAAACUGUUCCAUCCUUUUGUUGUUCUUGAACAUAACAAUGUUUGUUUUCCAUCAGCAUCUAAGUAGAAGACUUUAUUGGACUUGUAUGCUUCUGCUGAUACCCAGGAUAGGACCUAAAUCAGUUUAAUUUAGCACCUAAAUUAGUUUAAUUCAUCCUCUGUUAGUUAUGUGAAAUUCCAUCAUGAUCAUGAAUCUGCAGUGUUUCAGAUGACUAUGGAGAUUCUACAAAGACUUAAAAUAUUGUUGGAAAUAUGAAGCCAGCCCAGGGGGUAUAGGGUGUGUGAGAGCUUCCAAAUGACAUUCAAUUACUGUUACUGUACUACAGAAUUCUCUAAAUUGCUGUUUAAAUCACUUAUAUAGCUGUGCCUUUAAGUUAGAAACAUAUUUCAUUUAAUUUCAGCUCUUAUUAACUUUCUAUCCAAAUAGAAACUAUUUCCAAA